UGUAAAUGCCGCCAUUCUUUUUUCCCCCUUUUUUCUGAGUAAUUUUUUUUCUCCUCUUCUCUUUCAGGGUGAGCCAGCAGCCAAACGCGCGCAAAUGUAAAGAUGGCCAGAAACCACAGGGAUUGCAAAUGAGUUGGCAGCCUGCCUUAACCCCACCUCUUCCCAAAGAGUGGACU
rnacentral:lncRNA from 1 species